UGGAAAACUUCUUUGUAAUUACUCUAAAUCUAUUCAAAUUUAUUUUCUACCCUAUUUGGCAUGAUUUCCAAAGUGUUUUUUAGUACUGUACAAAAUUGCAUAGCAUUUGUAUAAAUAUUUCCAUCAUAGUAUACAAACAAACUUUUUCCGAUGAUGUCCAUUUGAUGAAAUAUCAUGUGGUGCGACCAUCAAGAAACAACCAAUUUGGGACUUUUAUGCUGAAAUCCAUUCAAAGACAGGAAGUUGCAUCAUACACCAUUUUGCCAAGGACCCAUGGAAGAAAGAACAGAUGCCACUUCCAAGCAAAAUAAAAACCGCUCGCCAUAGGCAGCGUGUUAAUUCUGACCCUGCAGCAAGAGCGAAGUACCUUGCUCGGCGAAGAUAAAGCUUCCAGAGGAGAAAACAGCAGGGAAGAUUCAAUAUGCUAAGUCAAGUGAGCUGACAGAGAGAGAGAAAAAGAAACAGAGAGAGAAAUGGAGAGCUUCCUCAAGUGCGUACAGGGAAAGGAAAAAUAUGGCAAAUGCUUUGCUAGAAAUUACGCCGCCAUCAAUGGAGAACAUUCCACAAGAUCUGGUUGAUGUGAUUGUAACCUAUGAUGAGCUUCCAUAUGUAGGCCAGGUCCUUGAAGUUGUGGAAGAGAAAAGAGUUCAAAAAGGUCUGGGAUUAAAGUAAUGCCUGCGACUUAAACCAAGUGCACCACAUUUACAGGUAAAGUUUAAUGAAAUGUUUGUUCACAGCUAUGUGUGUUGCACUUCAAUGUUUGUGAGUUUUUGUUUAUUAAAAAUGUAUAUAUAAUGUUUGUGUUCAUAAAAGUUCUAUCAAAUUUGAAUAAAAUCUGGUUUUAAUACAUUU